rnacentral:rRNA from 1 species
UACGUAGGGGGCUAGCGUUGUCCGGAAUCAUUGGGCGUAAAGCGCGUGUAGGCGGUCCGGUAAGUCCGCUGUGAAAGUCGAGGGCUCAACCCUCGAAUGCCGGUGGAUACUGCAGGGCUAGAGUCCGGAAGAGGCGAGUGGAAUUCCUGGUGUAGCGGUGAAAUGCGCAGAUAUCAGGAGGAACACCGAUGGCGAAGGCGGAUCUCUGGGCCAUUACUGACGCUGAGGAGCGAAAGCGUGGGGAGCGAACAGG